rnacentral:rRNA from 1 species
UACGUAGGGGGCAAGCGUUUGUCCGGAUUUAUUGGGCGUAAAGAGCGUGUAGGCGGCCAGGUAGGUCUGCUGUGAAAACUCGAGGCUUAACCUCGAGCUGUCGGCGGAAACCAUCUGGCUAGAGUCCGGAAGAGGAGAAUGGAAUUCCCGGUGUAGCGGUGAAAUGCGUAGAUAUCGCUUGGAACGCCGACGGUGAAAACAGCUCGCUGGGGACUCGCUGACGCUGAGACACGAAAGCCAGGGGAGCGAACGGG